rnacentral:lncRNA from 1 species
GGGGGGGGUUACUUCCUAUUAUUGGGUAUACGGGGAUGUGCCAAAAAUAUGGGUCAUAAUUUUGCGAGAUUUUAUAUAAAAAUGACCCUCCUUUUUAAUGACAUCCUAAAAUGCAUUUAUGUUUGAUAACUGUAUAUUGAUUUGGGGUAUGAUCUACAUAUCAUAUAUAAAUAUGCACCAAACGAUGUCAAUUCAUAUAUAAAAACUUAAGGGCAGCUGGUAUAUUUAUGAAUUAUGAGUGAUGAUGAGUUAGUGCUUAUAUAAGCAUGGGUCAUAUUUUAAAUAUUGUAUAUAAGUAUAGGUCAUUCUUUCUUAAAUAUUUAUAUAACUAUAGGUACUGAAUUUCAGUGAAUGUUAUAUUAAAAUGGGUACGUUUUUUGAGGCAAAAAAUGGCACACCCUUACCUAAAAAA